UACGUAGGGGGCAAGCGUUGUCCGGAUUUAUUGGGCGUAAAGAGCGUGUAGGCGGCCAGACAAGUCUGCUGUGAAAACUCGAGGCUCAACCUCGAGCUGUCGGUGGAAACUGUCUGGCUAGAGUCCGGAAGAGGAGAGUGGAAUUCCGUGGUGUAGCGGUGAAAUGCGCAGAUAUCAGGAAGAACACCUAUGGCGAAGGCAGCUCUCUGGGACGGUACUGACGCUGAGACGCGAAAGCGUGGGGAGCGAACAGG
rnacentral:rRNA from 1 species